rnacentral:rRNA from 1 species
GACGUAGGGCGCGAGCGUUGUCCGGAUUUAUUGGGCGUAAAGAGCUCGUAGGCGGCUUGUCGCGUCGACUGUGAAAACUCGGGGCUCAACCCCGAGCCUGCAGUCGAUACGGGCAGACUAGAGUGCGGUAGGGGAGACUGGAAUUCCUGGUGUAGCGGUGAAAUGCGCAGAUAUCAGGAGGAACACCGGUGGCGAAGGCGGGUCUCUGGGCCGUAACUGACGCUGAGGAGCGAAAGCGUGGGGAGCAAACAGG